UACAGAGGGUGCGAGCGUUGUCCGGAAUCACUGGGCGUAAAGGGCGCGUAGGCGGCUUGAUAAGCGUGCGGUGAAAGCCCGGGGCUCAACCCCGGGUCGGCCGUGCGAACUGUCGAGCUGGAGCACUGUAGAGGCAGGUGGAAUUCCGGGUGUAGCGGUGGAAUGCGUAGAGAUCCGGAAGAACACCGGUGGCGAAGGCGGCCUGCUGGGCAGUGGCUGACGCUGAGGCGCGACAGCGUGGGGGAGCAAACAGG
rnacentral:rRNA from 1 species